ACUGGGCUGGUUUAGAUGAAGAUGAAGAUGCACAUGUCUGGGAGGAUAAUUGGGAUGAUGACAACGUAGAGGAUGACUUCUCCAAUCAGUUACGAGCUGAAUUAGAGAAACAUGGUUAUAAGAUGGAGACAUCAUAGCAUCCAAGAGAAGUACUGCAGCAACCUAAACUUGAACUCUACUAAAUUCUAGGACAGAGAACCCAGGGUGGGGCACUUUAAAAAUAUAUAUAUGUUUAUUUCAUUAUCUGCUUGGAUUUAUUUUUGUUUUUGUAACACAAAAAAAUAAAUGUUUUCAU